rnacentral:sRNA from 1 species
UGGGUUAGGGAGAGGGGACAGAAUCUCUUCAAGAUCUGGAUGCUAAAAGUACCCCUUCCUUAUUCCCUCCCAAUGCAGAAAAAGGGCUGGGAUGUUCUGACAGGGCCAUCUCUGCCUUGCAGGUACAUUGGGGCACUGGGGGCACGAGUGAUCUGUGACAAUAUCCCUGGUUUGGUGAGCCGGCAGCGGCAGCUGUGCCAGCGUUACCCAGAUAUCAUGCGUUCAGUGGGCGAGGGUGCCCGAGAAUGGAUCCGAGAGUGUCAGCACCAAUUCCGCCACCACCGCUGGAACUGUACCACCCUGGACCGGGACCACACCGUCUUUGGCCGUGUCAUGCUCAGAAGUAGCCGAGAGGCAGCUUUUGUAUAUGCCAUCUCAUCAGCAGGGGUAGUCCACGCUAUUACUCGUGCCUGUAGCCAGGGUGAACUGAGUGUGUGCAGCUGUGACCCCUACACCCGUGGCCGACACCAUGACCAGCGUGGGGACUUUGACUGGGGUGGCUGCAGUGACAACAUCCACUAUGGUGUCCGUUUUGCCAAGGCCUUCGUGGAUGCCAAGGAGAAGAGGCUUAAGGAUGCCCGGGCCCUCAUGAACUUACAUAAUAACCGCUGUGGUCGCACG